rnacentral:rRNA from 1 species
AGUAUAUGCUGUCUCAAAGAUAAGCCAUGCAUGUCUAAGUACACACGAAUUAAAAGUGAAACCGCAAAAGGCUCAUUAUAUCAGUUAUGGUUCCUUAGAUCGUUAACAGUUACUUGGAUAACUGUGGUAAUUCUAGAGCUAAUACAUGCAUUAUAAACACGGACCUUUGGGACGUGUGCUUUUAUUAGGCUAAAACCAAGCGAUUGAAAAAUCGUCAUUAUGGUUGAACUCUAGAUAACUUGCAGAUCGCAUGGUCUUGUACCGGCGACAGAUCUUUCAAAUGUCUGCCCUAUCAACUUUUGAUGGUAGUAUCUAGGACUACCAUGGUUGCAACGGGUAACGGGGAAUCAGGGUUCGAUUCCGGAGAGGGAGCCUGAGAAACGGCUACCACAUCUAAGGAAGGCAGCAGGCGCGUAAAUUACCCACUCCCAGCUCGGGGAGGUAGUGACGAAAAAUAACAAUACAGGACUCAUAUUAGAGGCCCUGUAAUUGGAAUGAGUACACUUUAAAUCCUUUAACAAGGACCUAUUGGAGGGCAAGUCUGGUGCCAGCAGCCGCGGUAACUCCAGCUCCAAUAGCGUAUAUUAAAGUUGUUGCGGUUAAAACGUUCGUAGUUGAACUUGUGCUUCAUACGGGUAGUACAACUAUAAUUGUAGUUUGUACUGUACCUUAUGUAUGUAAGCGUAUUACCGGUGGAGUUCUUAUAUAUGUUAGAUACUUGUAUUUUUCAUAUAUUCCUCCUAUUUAAACCUGCUUCAGUGCUCUUCAUCGAGUGUUGUUGUGGGCCGGUACAAUUACUUUGAACAAAUUAGAGUGCUUAAAGCAGGCUCCAAAUGCCUGAAUAUUUUGUGCAUGGAAUAAUGAAAUAAGACCUCUGUUCUACUUUCAUUGGUUUUUAGAUCAAGAGG